AUGAAGUGGCGCCAAGCUUCUGGCAUUCUCUGUGACAAGAGAGUGCCACAAAAGCUAAAAGGCAAGUUCUACAGGACGGCAGUUCGAACCGCAAUGUUGUAUGGCGCUGAGUGUUGGCCGACUAAAAGGCGACAUGUUCAACAGUUAGGUGCGGCGGAGAUGCGUAUGUUGAUAUGGAUGUGUGGCCACACGAGGAAGGAUCGAGUCCGGAAUGAUGAUAUCGAGAUAGAGUUGGGGUAG
rnacentral:rRNA from 1 species